ensembl:lncRNA
CUCCCAGACACCUCACCACCACACAAACAGGGCUGUGAUGUAGCAGGGGGCUAUGGUUGAAAAUGCAGAUUCUGUCUAAGGAGGACUUCUCAGGGAAUCAUCCCUGGGCAGCAGGGGAGAUGAACAGAAAGGCACUGCAGAAACCUGACGCCUCCCGCACCUACACCUACAGCUACAUUAAACAAUCCUGGAUUGAGAAAUCAGUGUGUGGAUAAGCUUUUGACCUGACUUUUGAACAGAAUGUCAUUCUUUCCUCCAAACCUUAUCAGUCGUGAGGUUGAAAGACAACGGGCUGCGGUGGGGAGCACUCGACCUCUGGAGAUGCAGGCACUGGUGCACUGAGAUUCUCAGAGCCUUCCUCCUGGUGCUCUGGGGCUCCCUGUGGCUGAGAGCACCAACUCCAACCCCUGAUGAGAAAAUCUGAAGGACAGAGAAGUAUAUCUCCAGGCAUACAGUUAUAAAACAGCCAGGUCAAAAUUGAACCAGAAGUCUAAUGCCAAAGUCCAAGAAAUGAUAAAAUUGUUCCUAUCACCCUUUUAAAGAUGAGAAGCGGAGUCUAAGAGGUUAAACAGUUUGCCUACUGUGAGGUCAGUCAAUGAGUUUCAGAGCAGAGGGGCAGAGAAUGCUUUACUCCAAAGCUUGAAACAACUGUGCUGCUGACGGAGCAGAGUCUAAAGAUAAGAGAGAGAGGGCACAACAUGUGGAAUAAGAACCUCCAGAAGCAGAAGAGGAUAACAACGCAGGUGAAGCAAUUCAUCUGUUAUCUGCAACAUGUGAGCAAAUCCAGGAAUGUACAGAUCACAGGAUUGGAAAGAAACUCUUCAAGGCCAACCCUGCUGCUUUCUUAAUACACCACAAACAAAAACAGACGGUAAAUGUAUUUCCUGCCCAGGGAAGGAGGUCAGAGUCCAGGGGGAGGUGUGAAGAGGGAUGAAAGUAACUCUCUAUCAUUCACAAUUCUCUUUGCUAUCGUUUAGCACUGGUGACCACCAAGAAUUCUUAGUCCAAGCAGAAUGGCUUCCUGUCUCCACAUGCAAACACCUCUCUGCAGGUUCUCAAAGCCUCAGGAUAAUGUUUACCCAAGCAUCCUUUCUGACAUUUAUCUCAGAGAAACAAAAGCUUAUGUUCCCACAAAAACCCAUACACAAUGCUUAUAGCAGUCGUUGUCUUAAUAAUCAAAAAUGUGAAAACCAGCCAAAGGUCCUUCAAAGGGUGAAUGGUUAAACAUACUCUGAUAAAUCUUCACCAUCCAAUACUACUGAGCAAUAAAAAGGAACAGUUAUUGAUACACAUUGCUAUAGAUUUGUAGGCAAUUGUGAGUGAAAAAAAAUCUCAAAAGUAUGUAUACUGUAUAAUUCUAUUUAUAUAACAUUCUUGAAACGACAAAAUUAUAGAAAUGGAGAACAGAUUAGAGGUUUCCAAGGGUUAAGGAGGAACACUGAAGAGGAAAGUAGUUGUAGUGAUGAGAAGGUACAAAGGUAUUUGUGAGGGAAUAGAUUCGUGUCUUGGAGAAGGCAAUGGUACCCCACUCCAGUACUCUUGCCUGGAAAAUCCCAUGGACGGAGAAGCCUGGUGGGCUGCAGUCCAUGGGGUCGCUAAGAGUCAGACACGACUGAGCAACUUCACUUUCACACAUUGGAGAAGGAAAUGGCAACCCACUCCAGUGUUCUUGCCUGGAGAAUCCCAGGGAUGGGGGAGCCUGGUGGGCUGCCGUCUAUGGGGUCGCACAGAGUCGGACACGACUGAAGCGACUUAGCAGCAGCAGCAGCAGAUUCGUGUCUUGACUGUGGGGGUGGCCACACAAAUCUGCAUAUGCAGUGAAACUGCACAGAACUAUGUGCACACAUAUCACAAACAAAUGCAUGCAAAACUGGUGAAAGUUAGUCAUUGGAUUGUAUCAGUGUCAUUUUCCUGGUUGUGAUACUGUGUUAUUCUUCUACAAAAUGUUCCUCUUGUGGGAAUCCAGGUGAAGGGUAAACAAAAACCUCUCUGUAUUAUUUCUUACCACUGCAUAUGAAUAUGCAGUUAUCUCAAAAAGUGUUUAGUCUUAUAAGUAAAAGCCUUUAAAGAUUGUUACAUAGUCUGUCUUUUUAUACUUGAAUCACUCCAGAAUAGAUUCUGGACACAAACUGAUACAGUCAAGUUAUUUGAAUGUUCUUAAGACUAAGACCAGAGAAGGCAAUGGCACCCCACUCCAGUACUCUUGCCUGGAAAAUCCCAUGGACGGAGGAGCCCAGUAGGCUGCAUUCCAUGGGGUCGAGAAGAGUCAGACACAACUGAGCGACUUCACUUUCACUUUUCACUUUCAUGCAUUGGAGAAGGAAAUGGCAACCCACUCCAAUGUUCUUGCCUGGAGAAUCCCAGGGACAGGGGAGUCUGGUGGGCUGCUGUCUAUGGGGUCGCACAGAGUCAGACACGACUGAAAUGACUUAGCACAGCAGCAGCAAUACUAAGACAAAUACAUACUGAUCAGUGUUUGUUGAAUAAAUCCAGGUG